CAAGCGAAACUCCCGGGAGCUGCUGGCCCUCAUCCCUGGAAGAUCUUUCUCUCCCUUCCUCAGCAAGCUGUCGUACCUGUGUUCCCGUGAUGACCUCUCCCCUCUGGGCCUCUCACCCCUACAGCCCCUGCUUCCCACAUUUCGCUCCUGCCCUCGGGCCGCACCCAGAAAUGUUUUCUGGGUCGGGGCCGCCUGACAGACCUGUGAUAGGCCCGGGUGUGGAGGAGGCUGAAAUUCCUAGGAAGAGCCCAGCUGCGAGCCAAGGCUGGAGGAGUCAGGACCAGCUGGACAAGGAAACAGAGAAGCAGAACAAAUUUGAUUUUACUGACAGCUGCCACACCACGUCCGGGCACCCCAUCAAGAGGUGAAGUGCAAUCGGGGCAGGCUGUGACUCAUUUAAACAUAUAGAACGUGGCUAAGGCGGUCCAGCUUCUACCAUGCUGGCUGGGACGCUUGCCUUUGGAGCCUUGAGUCAUCCUGUAAGAUGGAAAGCUGCCCUGAGGCCAUCACGCUGACAGAAACCUCAGGCCACGCGGAGAGCUCGUGUUCAGGGUUUGGCUCACAGGAGGGUUGAAGACAUGAAUUGUUCCGGGCGGAGCUCAGAGCCAAGGUGGCCAACCGUCUGGGACUUUCAGUGCUAAAAACAGAAAAGUCCUAGGUGAACCGAGACAAGCUGGUGAGCCUACCGAACGAUAGCGGAUCAAGAGAAACUUACUCUCAAAACGAGCACAUGUGGCCACGUCCGUGUGAAUCAACGACCAACUGUGGAACUGGGAGUUCUCUGAAUUAAUUUAGGUGCAGAAUACAACGUUUAUGAAAGGACCAGUAAUGAAAAUGUGAAGUUCACAUAUAUGUUAUUAAAACACAAUCAUCACCACAGCAAUUGUUAGAACAAAGGAAUCUUUUUCGGGAAGGAGUAUUUUAU
rnacentral:lncRNA from 1 species